rnacentral:rRNA from 1 species
GGACGAACGCUGGCGGCGUGCUUAACACAUGCAAGUCGAACGGUAAGGCUCCAGCUUGCUGGGGUACACGAGUGGCGAACGGGUGAGUAACACGUGGGUGACCUGCCCUGCACUUCGGGAUAAGCCUGGGAAACUGGGUCUAAUACCGGAUAGGACCGCACCGUGAGGGUGUGGUGGAAAGUUUUUUCGGUGUGGGAUGGGCCCGCGGCCUAUCAGCUUGUUGGUGGGGUAAUGGCCUACCAAGGCGGCGACGGGUAGCCGGCCUGAGAGGGUGGACGGCCACAUUGGGACUGAGACACGGCCCAGACUCCUACGGGAGGCAGCAGUGGGGAAUAUUGCACAAUGGGCGGAAGCCUGAUGCAGCGACGCCGCGUGGGGGAUGACGGCCUUCGGGUUGUAAACUCCUUUCACCAUCGACGAAGGGUUUCUGACGGUAGAUGGAGAAGAAGCACCGGCUAACUACGUGCCAGCAGCCGCGGUAAUACGUAGGGUGCGAGCGUUGUCCGGAAUUACUGGGCGUAAAGAGCUCGUAGGUGGUUUGUCGCGUCGUCUGUGAAAUUCCGGGGCUUAACUCCGGGCGUGCAGGCGAUACGGGCAUAACUUGAGUACUGUAGGGGAGACUGGAAUUCCUGGUGUAGCGGUGAAAUGCGCAGAUAUCAGGAGGAACACCGGUGGCGAAGGCGGGUCUCUGGGCAGUAACUGACGCUGAGGAGCGAAAGCAUGGGGAGCGAACAGGAUUAGAUACCCUGGUAGUCCAUGCCGUAAACGGUGGGCGCUAGGUGUGGGUUUCCUUCCACGGGAUCCGUGCCGUAGCUAACGCAUUAAGCGCCCCGCCUGGGGAGUACGGCCGCAAGGCUAAAACUCAAAGGAAUUGACGGGGGCCCGCACAAGCGGCGGAGCAUGUGGAUUAAUUCGAUGCAACGCGAAGAACCUUACCUGGGCUUGACAUAUACAGGAUCGCGCCAGAGAUGGUGUUUCCCUUGUGGCUUGUAUACAGGUGGUGCAUGGUUGUCGUCAGCUCGUGUCGUGAGAUGUUGGGUUAAGUCCCGCAACGAGCGCAACCCUUGUCUUAUGUUGCCAGCACGUUGUGGUGGGGACUCGUAAGAAACUGCCGGGGUUAACUCGGAGGAAGGUGGGGAUGACGUCAAAUCAUCAUGCCCCUUAUGUCCAGGGCUUCACACAUGCUACAAUGGUCGGUACAGUGGGUUGCCAGUCCGUGAGGGCGAGCUAAUCCCGCAAAGCCGGUCUCAGUUCGGAUCGGGGUCUGCAACUCGACCCCGUGAAGUCGGAGUCGCUAGUAAUCGCAGAUCAGCAACGCUGCGGUGAAUACGUUCCCGGGCC